rnacentral:rRNA from 1 species
AUCGAGCCGGUCUCCGAAUCUCUGGUUUAGAGUUUGAUCAUGGCUCACGACGAACNUUGGCGGCGUGCCUAAUACAUGCAAGUCGAGCGAACAGAGAAGGAGCUUGCUCCUUUGACGUUAGCGGCGGACGGGUGAGUAACACGUGGGCAACCUACCUUAUAGUUUGGGAUAACUCCGGGAAACCGGGGCUAAUACCGAAUAAUCUAUUUCACUUCAUGGUGAAUACUGAAAGACGGUCUCGGCUGUCGCUAUAAGAUGGGCCCGCGGCGCAUUAGCUAGUUGGUGAGGUAACGGCUCACCAAGGCGACGAUGCGUAGCCGACCUGAGAGGGUGAUCGGCCACACUGGGACUGAGACACGGCCCAGACUCCUACGGGAGGCAGCAGUAGGGAAUCUUCCACAAUGGGCGAAAGCCUGAUAUGGAGCAACGCCGCGUGAGUGAAGAAG